CUACGGGCCGCUCCAGGUAGGAAUAAUCUUCAAUGCACGCAAGUGUGAAAGUUUGAGUCAGAGUGCUCCUCAUUGAGGAGCUUUUGCCAGAUGUAAAAAGUCUGGCGAAUAAGGACUGGGCAAGACGAGUGCCAGCCGCCGCGGUAAUACUCGCGGUCCAAGUCGCAGCCAUAUUUAUUGGGUCUAAAACAUCCGUAGCUUGCCGGAUAAGUUCCUUGUGAAAUCUCAUCCCUCAAAGAUGGGGCGCGCAGGGAAUACUACCCGGCUAGAGACUGGGAGACGGAAGAAGUACAUUCAGAGUAACGGUUAAAUGUGUUGAUCCUGAGUGGACUAACAAUAGCGAAGGCAUCUUCCGAGAACAGUUCUGACAGUCAGGGAUGAAGGCUCGGGGCGCAAAACGGAUUAGAUACCCUCGUAGUC
rnacentral:rRNA from 1 species